AGCGUAGACGGACUGGCAAGUCUGAUGUGAAAGGCGGGGGCUCAACCCCUGGACUGCAUUGGAAACUGUUAGUCUUGAGUGCCGGAGAGGUAAGCGGAAUUCCUAGUGUAGCGGUGAGAUGCGUAGAUAUUAGGAGGAACACCAGUGGCGAAGGCGGCUUACUGGACGGUAACUGACGUUGAGGCUCGAAAGCGUGGGGAGCAAACA
rnacentral:rRNA from 1 species